rnacentral:rRNA from 1 species
GAUGAACGCUGGCGGCGUGCCUAAUACAUGCAAGUCGAGCGAACGGACGAGAAGCUUGCUUCUCUGAUGUUAGCGGCGGACGGGUGAGUAACACGUGGAUAACCUACCUAUAAGACUGGGAUAACUUCGGGAAACCGGAGCUAAUACCGGAUAAUAUUUUGAACCGCAUGGUUCAAAAGUGAAAGACGGUCUUGCUGUCACUUAUAGAUGGAUCCGCGCUGCAUUAGCUAGUUGGUAAGGUAACGGCUUACCAAGGCAACGAUGCAUAGCCGACCUGAGAGGGUGAUCGGCCACACUGGAACUGAGACACGGUCCAGACUCCUACGGGAGGCAGCAGUAGGGAAUCUUCCGCAAUGGGCGAAAGCCUGACGGAGCAACGCCGCGUGAGUGAUGAAGGUCUUCGGAUCGUAAAACUCUGUUAUUAGGGAAGAACAUAUGUGUAAGUAACUGUGCACAUCUUGACGGUACCUAAUCAGAAAGCCACGGCUAACUACGUGCCAGCAGCCGCGGUAAUACGUAGGUGGCAAGCGUUAUCCGGAAUUAUUGGGCGUAAAGCGCGCGUAGGCGGUUUUUUAGUCUGAUGUGAAAGCCCACGGCUCAACCGUGGAGGGUCAUUGGAAACUGGAAAACUUGAGUGCAGAAGAGGAAAGUGGAAUUCCAUGUGUAGCGGUGAAAUGCGCAGAGAUAUGGAGGAACACCAGUGGCGAAGGCGACUUUCUGGUCUGUAACUGACGCUGAUGUGCGAAAGCGUGGGGAUCAAACAGGAUUAGAUACCCUGGUAGUCCACGCCGUAAACGAUGAGUGCUAAGUGUUAGGGGGUUUCCGCCCCUUAGUGCUGCAGCUAACGCAUUAAGCACUCCGCCUGGGGAGUACGACCGCAAGGUUGAAACUCAAAGGAAUUGACGGGGACCCGCACAGGCGGUGGAGCAUGUGGUUUAAUUCGAAGCAACGCGAAGAACCUUACCAAAUCUUGACAUCCUUUGACAACUCUAGAGAUAGAGCUUUCCCCUUCGGGGGACAAAGUGACAGGUGGUGCAUGGUUGUCGUCAGCUCGUGUCGUGAGAUGUUGGGUUAAGUCCCGCAACGAGCGCAACCCUUAAGCUUAGUUGCCAUCAUUAAGUUGGGCACUCUAAGUUGACUGCCGGUGACAAACCGGAGGAAGGUGGGGAUGACGUCAAAUCAUCAUGCCCCUUAUGAUUUGGGCUACACACGUGCUACAAUGGACAAUACAAAGGGCAGCGAAACCGCGAGGUCAAGCAAAUCCCAUAAAGUUGUUCUCAGUUCGGAUUGUAGUCUGCAACUCGACUACAUGAAGCUGGAAUCGCUAGUAAUCGUAGAUCAGCAUGCUACGGUGAAUACGUUCCCGGGUCU